rnacentral:rRNA from 1 species
GUGCAGCAGGCGCGAAAACUUCGCAAUACGCGCAAGCGUGACGAGGGAACCCCAAGUACUCUUGCUUUUUGCAGGAGUUUUUGCCAAGUGUAAACAGCUUGGAGAAUAAGGGCGGGGUAAGGCCGGUGCCAGCCGCCGCGGUAAUACCGGCCGCCCGAGUAGUGACCACUAUUAUUGGGCCUAAAGCGUCCGUAGCCGGUUUUGUAAGUUUCUGGGUAAAUCCCACAGCUUAACUGCGGGAAUUCCAGAAAUACUGCAGAGCUAGGGGCCGGGAGACGCAGAAGGUACUCCUGGGGUAGGGGUGAAAUCCUAUAAUCCUAGGGGGACCACCAGUGGCGAAGGCGUUCUGCGAGAACGGGCUCGACGGUGAGGGACGAAAGCCAGGGGCGCAAACGGGAUUAGAUAUGAAGUUGAGUUUUUACCAGCUUCACUAGAAACCCCGGUAGUCC